UUUCGAAUCAUUCACAAUGGGCAUAAGCCUGAUGGUGCGACGCCGCGUGAGGGAUGAAGGCCUUCGGGUUGUAAACCUCUGUCACUGGGGAAGAAACGCUUCAAGUUAAUAGCUUGAAGCCUGACUUAACCCAGAGAGGAAGCAGUGGCUAACUCUGUGCCAGCAGCCGCGGUAAUACAGAGACUGCAAGCGUUAUUCGGAUUCACUGUGCGGAAAGGGUGCGCAGGCGGCCGUGUGUGUUAGGUGUGAAAGCCCGAGGCUUAACCUCGGAAUUGCGCCUAAAACUACACGGCUAGAGCAGUGGAGAGGGUAGCAGAAUUCAUGGUGUAGCAGUGAAAUGCGUAGAUAUCAUGAGGAAUACCAGAGGCGAAGGCGGCUACCUGGACAAUUGCUGACGCUCAGGCACGAAAGCGUGGGGAGCAAAAGGGAUU
rnacentral:rRNA from 1 species